rnacentral:lncRNA from 1 species
AAAAUGGUAAUCCAGCAACGUGUAUAAAGGAAGGCAUUCUUCUGAAAUGGUAGCACACCAUCAUCUAGCAAGUUGAUGAUGUUCAAAAACUGCAUUCGGCAGAAAAAAAAUAAGGUUGACAAGAAAUGCGACUUUGCCACUGAAAAUAAACGCAAGACAACAAACCACCGUCAAUACCAGAAUACAAACAAAUGCACUGACAAUAGGCCAACAAGUUGAGAAUGUACGUCCUCUGGCAAGGCUAUCACAAAUUUCUGACGGAGGGAGAUACGAGUUCGAUCAAUCCUAGCAUAUUGGUCUGGUCUCAUCAUCAAAUUCCUGUCCCAGCAUCUCUGGAUCUGUCUUCUGAAUGCAGUCAAGGAACUAGUUCAGAACAUGUUGUGAAUAAUAAACAGAGACGAAAAAAGCAGGUUUACCUGUUGAAGAUUUCAGAUUUCUGAUAUGGCAGCACAAUAGUAGGUAGGCUUUUCCGACAUGGCAGCAUAAAUCCCCAGUUUGUUUUCUGAAACCCCAGCAACUGGAGAAGAGAGGUACUGAUUAUCGAGACAUCGAAAUCAAAGAUGGCCACAUGGGUAUGAGGUUCCGAUUAUCAACUGACGUCCCAGCGUUAUCUAUCUUCUGCGUGCAGCCAAGAAACCUGAGAAACAAUCACCUUGUUUUCACUUCAAAACAUGAGAUGGAUAAUGAACAGCGAAAAGCAGGCUUACCUUUUUCAUUUUAUUUUAUAUGACAGCGAAAAUAGAGGCUUUUCCGGCAGCAUGAAUCCCCAUUUCUGACCCAACGAGUGGGGAACAAAAUGUUGAGAUUGUGAGUGUAAAACACCGUUAUCAUGACCACGUGAGGACGAGGUUCUGAAGUGAAACCGAG